rnacentral:rRNA from 1 species
AUUGAACGCUGGCGGCAGGCCUAACACAUGCAAGUCGAGCGAGCGGCGGACGGGUGAGUAAUGUAUGGGGACUGCCCGCUAGAGGGGGAUAACUACUGGCAACGGUAGCUAAUACCGCAUACUCUCGGAAAACCCAUAUGGGAUUAGCACGUAGGUGAGGUAAUGGCUCAACUAGGCGACGAUCCCUAGCUGGUCUGAGAGGAUGAUCCGGAACACGGGGACUGAUGUACGGCCCAGACUCCUCGGGAGUCAGCAUUGGGGAAUAUUGCCCGAUUGGCGCAAGCCUGAUGCAGGCAGGCCGCGUGUAGCAAGAAGGCCCUAGGGUUGUAAGGGACUUUGAGUCGGGGGGCGUUGCAGACAGAAGAAGCACCGGCUAACUCCGUGCGAGCACCGCCGGUAAUAC